GCCUGGGUGGCUCAGUGGUUGAGCAUCUGCCUUAGGCUCAGAGCGUGAUCCCACGGUCCUGGGAUCGAGUCCCACAUCAGGCU
rfam:Canis lupus familiaris chromosome 3, whole genome shotgun sequence.